rnacentral:miRNA from 1 species
UGCUCACAGUGUCCCUGGUAGCCAGGCAGAGCCUGUAAUCCCAACUACUUGGGAGGCUGAGGCAGGAGGAU